UACGAGGGGGGCGAGCGUUGUUCGGAAUUAUUGGGCGUAAAGGGCGCGUAGGCGGUGUGGUAAGUCUGUUGUGAAACCUCCAGGCUCAACUUGGAGCUUGCAUCAGAAACUGCCGUGCUAGAGUGUGGGAGAGGAGAGUGGAAUUCCUGGUGUAGCGGUGAAAUGCGUAGAUAUCAGGAGGAACACCGGUGGCGAAAGCGGCUCUCUGGACCACAACUGACGCUGAGGCGCGAAAGCUAGGGGAGCAAACAGG
rnacentral:rRNA from 1 species